rnacentral:lncRNA from 1 species
ACAGUAACAGCAUAAGUAGUAGCUGAGGCUCUAAUCUGCUGGACAUUGGGCUGUUAGCCCCCAUCUCCAUCAGCCUUUGACUUCACUGCCACUAACCCAGGAAAAUUAACGUAAGCAUCUCUGCCUCUUUGGAACAAGGUUAUAUGGCCUGGAAAAUCUCAAAGGAGUAGAAGCAGAACUCCUCCCAGUGUCUGGCUGGGCUGUCUCCAGGUUUUCAGAGGAGGGGAAAACCACUCUACAUCGCUGUUGGAGAAUGAGGCAGUGAAAAAAAAGGUAAAAAGCAAAAAUAGCGUUCCGCGUUUGUUCCCUGGCGAGCUUCUACAGAGACAGUG